AUUUUGUACCAGAUCGUCGUUCCCAUACCCCGAAACCAACCAGAAGAGUACAAAAACGUUCAACAGCGCCAUCUAGCAGUCGGUCGUCCUCCCGCUCGAGCUCUUCAUCAUCCGAACGCCGUUAUCGCCGAGAUCGUCGCCGACGCUCGCCGUCAAUCACCAAACGACGCUCUUCCACGCGUCGCAAAUCACGCAGCCGAUCUAGAUCUCGAUCGAAUCGCAGCAGUUAUCGCAGUGACCGCCGCAGCAGCCGACGGUCGCGGUCACGCAGCCGUCGCCGUCGGUCGCGCUCACGCUCGUACGACGCCGGUAGGGGUAAGAGGUCCCAUAAGCAUUGAAAACGAUGUUGAUUGCGCGAACAUUGCCCAAGGUUACAGUUACACGCCCAGGUGUUUUUUUUUUGAUUCCACUGCGGACCUGGAUUAAGUCUUCACAAGUAGGAUUUUUCAGCUUACGAUAAACUAGUUUAAAAAUAUUGUAAUAAUUAAUUUAUAAUAUAACAAAACGUUCAUUCAUUUAAAAAAUCA